rnacentral:rRNA from 1 species
GACCAGACUCCUACGGGAGGCAGCAGUGGGGAAUAUUGCACAAUGGGGGGAACCCUGAUGCAGCGACGCCGCGUGGGUGAAGGAGCGUUUCGGCGCGUAAAGCCCUAUCAGCAGGAAAGAAAAUGACGGUACCUGAAUAAGAAGCCCCGGCUAACUACGUGCCAGCAGCCGCGGUAAUACGUAGGGGGCAAGCGUUAUCCGGAUUUACUGGGUGUAAAGGGGGCGCAGACGGCGAUGCAAGCCAGGAGUGAAAGCCCGGGGCCCAACCCUGGGACUGCUCUGGAAACUGUAAAGCUGGAGUGCGGGAGGGGCAGGCGGAAUUCCUGGUGUAGCGGUGAAAUGCGUAGAUAUCAGGAGGAACACCGGCGGCGAAGGCGGCCUGCUGGACCGUAACUGACGUUGAGGCUCGAAAGCGUGGGGAGCAAACAGGAUUAGAUACCCUUGUA